CAACCGUUCAAACUUGAGGUAGAUGCUAGUGCCAGAGGUGCUGGUGCUGUUCUACUGCAGCAGGACAAGAGUGGAGUGGAUCAUCCGGUUUGUUAUUUUUCACAUAAAUUUAAUAAAUGUCAAACUAUGCGACAAUAGAACAAGAAGCUCUUGCUUGUUGGCUCUGCAAUACUUUGAAGUAUACAUUGGUUCCAGUGCCCUACCAGUGAUUGUGUAUACUGACCAUAACCCCUUAGUUUUUCUCCACCGAAUGUACAACCAGAACCAGCGCCUUAUGCGUUGGGCGCUGAUUGUACAAAAUUAUAAUUUGGAGAUCCAUCACAAAAAGGGUUCAGAUAAUGUGUUGGCAGAUGCUUUGUCUCGUGUGUAAUAAUUGUAUGUUUUGCAAGGUUGUUGUGAGUAUUCAUUAAUACUGUGGGUCGCAAUCCCCCCUAGGGUUGCUCUUUUAAGGGUGGGAGUGUUACGGAUACAAGUAUCCUGUGUCUGUGUAUCCUGUGUACUUUUCUCUCCUUCUCCCCUCACAGGUGAACAUCAUCACUCUCCAAUCAGUCAACAAUCAAUCAUCAAUCAGAAGACACACCUCCUCCUGUUUCCUACCCUAUCACAGUUCCUUUCCCUUGGUUUAAAAACCCCAACAGUUGUUUGCUCUAGAGCUCAAUCUCUCUGUAAAUGCCAUGUAUGUAGAUCUCUGUGUUUCACUCUCUCUUUGUGUCUUAACCUCUCUUUUGUUUGAGCACCUCCAAAUCACUUUGUCAUCUCCUGUGCUGUCAGGUGAAACUUUCACAUCCAAAGCUACAGAUGGCGAGACGGAGAAGUUUGUCAUAAGGUUGCUGCAGCUUGCACCAGACCUAGACGGAGGCAGAAAGGAGAGGACCAAACACAGCCAGGAGAGUGCGGAUAGACCCAGAGACUGAUGCAUUUACAUACAUUUUUAAAGGAUAAAUGCCAACACUUUGAACAUUAUCUGGAAAUAAUGGACUACUUGGUACUGCCUGAGUUUAUUAGCACCAGAUAAUGUAUAGAGUGGAGGCGUUUAUCCCGCUUAUACCAGGGUUGCCAAAGAAACAAGCACACAUUUACCGGUAAAAUGUUUUCAUUUAUAUUUUAAUAAGUAAAUUCAUCCUUUCAUCCUGUC
ensembl:lncRNA